GGUGGCCCAAUUAUUCCAUGUUUUUUUAGCCUCUUUUUUGGUUUUACUAAGAUGUUUAUUUUUUAGAUUUCUACUGUAGCGAGGAAACUAUUGGUUUUACAAUGCUGUUUAUUUAUUUAUUUUUAUUUAUUUGUUCUUGUCUGUGGACACGUUUUUUCCUUGUAAAUUUGCUCCAAUGUAUGGGUGUAGCACUUUUUCUGAAAACUCGAGUUGUCUAGAUUGUACUUUAAAAAAGUCAUUUUUUUAUUUUAGAUGCGAUUUUUUUUAAAUAUAAGCACUAUAUUAAUAUAAUAU